AAAAAAAAAAAAGAUAGGUCCUUGACAUUCACGGGAGAACUUUGUGAAUUCCUAAGUUUGUGAUAACCUAUGUAACAUAUCAUUUUUGCCCUAAAAUGCAAUAAGAUGUGUUGAAAAAAAUUCAUUUUACCCCUUUGGUCUUUUGAUGUAAAUUAUCCCAUAGUCAGACAUAACUAAUGUAAUUCUCCCACUAAAACAACUGUUAUACUACAUAUAUUGAAUUAUUAGUAGAAACAUUAAUUUGAACUUGCCUGAAUCUUCAUAUUCAAGAUAGUGAUGCCAGAUAAUUUUGGACUGUGUGGUGAAAUCAUGAAAUGUACUAAACUACAGAAAAGGUCACACUUCAACAUUAACUUUGGAGAAAGAGGCAAAUGGUAGGGAAAAUAAGGGAGAUUAUUGUGAGACAGUAUUCUGAGAGGAAAACCUUCAUGAAGUGAUAGUUUCUUUCUAAAGACACUAUGGCAGCUGUGUAUUACUUUUAUUAGAAUCAGUAUGAAUUUUAUUACUUAAAGCUUUAUUCACCAUAACUUGUUUUGGUAUCAUUGGCAGUUUUCCAUUUUAGAACUUUGACUAAAUUUAUGAAAAUCCCCCACAUUUCUUCUAAACCUUCUGUGUCAUCCUCUUUGUCGUUCUUUGCAAAAUCAUCUGUCUUCUUGCUCUUUUAAUUCUUCCAUGUCACUUUUAUGUGUGCCCUCCAAACCUUUGUCACACUCUUGCCAGUAUUAAUGACAUACUCCCCUUCAUUACCUGUGAAAAUAAUCUCCUUGAAGUCAUAGACUGCCUUCUUUCAUAAGGCAUGCUAAUAAGCAUCUACCCUUUUGGAUCACUCAGUCUCCAGUAAGAGAUUCCUUAGUAUUUCUUUCUUUUAUUUUUUUGGCUGCGCCUGUGGCACAUGGAAAUUCCCAGGCCAGAGAUCAAACCUGUGCCACAGUAGCGACCUUAGCUGCUACAAUGACAGUGCUGGAUCCUUAACCCACUGCACCACAAUGGAGAUGCACUAUUUCUUAUAUGAUCAAGGAUGCACCUCUUCUAAAGCUGGCAGUUACCAAAUUUGAGAUCUGUGUCCACAGUACUUUAUGAUGCUAGUGAAAGUAUAGCAAAAUCAUACCUUGAGCUUGUGUUUUACACUCCAUUUGAAAAGUUAGAAGCAUUAAGGGGAAGGAAUAUCACUGUGAUUUAGAGUUACAAACUGUAGUCAUUAAGAAUAACCUCACACAUUGUCCAUGAUGAGGAGAGCUGAAAUUCAAACUUCUGAGAAAUUAGAUGUGUCUCUUUCUGGCAUAAGAAUUUAUAAAACCAGUCCAAAAAACAUGGCCCUGUGCCUGAGGGUUUUUAUUAGCCUAUCAAUAUAUUUUUUUUAAUGUCCUGAGGAUCUCAGAUUAGUAGGACAAACCUAAUUUUUUCAUAAAGUCUGCACAAUUACUACAAAGUAGGUAAGGCAGUCUGAUCUUAAAUUCUAAAUGCUCUAUAAGGAUAUGUGAGCAACUGGGCUUUUCACUACUGAAUUCCCAAUAUUUACUAUAAUUUGUACCUGAUAAAUAUCUAAUUAUCUAGUAGGCAUUUUCUUUUAGUGUUAAGUUAGUCUUAUCCUUGUCAAAUGAUUUCUUGUUAUGACUUCCUUUUAAAGAGCUCUUUAACUUCACGUUUUCUCCCAAAUCAUACUGUGGUCAUCAGUCCCAUGUUUCCUAUAUCAUUCUCACUGCCAUUUCAGCUUCCACUGAUUUUUUUUUUUCUCUCUCUCUCUCUACUGAUGAAUGUUUUCAUAAAAGCUGACACACUUGCUAAAACAUUCCCACACACUUCUGGAUAUGUGAUGGAACUAUCCAUGUCAUAGAUUGAGCCAGGCCCAAGAAUAUAGCAAAAAAAGACAAAAUUAAAAAAAAAAAGAAAAGGAGAAAAAAAAAGGACACUAUAGUACUGGCAUAAGGAUAGCCAUAUUGAUUAGUGGAAUAGAAUUGAGAAACCAGAAAUAAACCCUCACAUUUAUAAUGAAUUAAUUAUUUUUGACAAAAUUAACUUUGACAAAUCAAUUAAUUUGUCAAAUUAAUUUUGACAUUAAUUUUCAAUGGGGGAAAAUAUAUAGUCUCUAACAAGUGGUGCUGGGAAAAUGGAAUAUCUGCAUGCAAAACCCCAAAAUUAACCCCCCUACCUCACACCAGAUACAAAUAUUAAUUAAAAUGGAUUAUAGAACUAAAUAUAAGCACUUAAAACUGUAAUACUCUUAGGAGUUCUCUUGUGGCACAGUGGGUUAAGGAUCUGGCGUUGUCACUGCAGGGGUUUGGGUUGCUGAUCUGGCACAGGUCAGAUCCCUGGCUGCCGUAUGGCCCCCCCAAAAAAGUAUAGUAUUUGUAGAAGAAAACAUAGACAUAAUUUUUGUGGCCUUGGAUUAGGCAUUGUUUCUUAGAUACAAUACCAAAAGCAUAAACAGAAAAAGAAGAUAAAAUUGGACUUCAUCAAAAUGUAAAAGUUUUAUGUUUCAAAGAUGCUAUCAAGAGGAUGUUCCUGUUGUGUCUCAGCAGAAACAAACCUGACUAGAAUCCGUGAGGAUAUGGGUUCGAUCCCUGGUCCCAAUCAGUGGGUUAAGGAUCUGGCAUUGCUGUAGCUGUGGCUUAGGCCAGCAGCUGUAGCUCCGAUUAGACCCCUAGCC
rnacentral:lncRNA from 1 species